UCAAAUUAUCAAUUGACUUGGCUCUGAUCUCUGAAACGAGCCGUAUAGGCAAUCCGCUGCACAAACCCAAGUUCCGAAGGUGCGACUCUGUGAGGGGACCUCACAACUUGCCAGCCCUUGCACAAAGUUGUUGAUUCUUCCUCCCAUCUUCGCCUGCGAUUACGUUUAUCUGUUCGUCUUCCUCUUCUUCGCUGUGCAAUCGGAGAAACUCUUUUCUGACGCUAAACCUAACCUUCAAGGUAACCUCAAAUGUCUGGAAGGAACCGUGGUCCCCGAGAACCAAUCAAUGAUCGGCGGGGCUACCCACCUGAACGGCUCUUCAUUCCAGGGCCUCCGUUGCCUCGCCCUCCUAUGCCGCCUCAUCCAGCUCUAUUGGAAGAGGAACUUGAAAUGCAGCACACAGAAAUCCGGAGGUUAGUGUUAGAGAACCGAAGGCUGAUUGAGGACCGAAUGGUAUUUCAGCGGGACCUUGCAGCUACAAAAGAGGAACUUCAUAGGAUGAACCUUGCCAUUGCCGAAAUUCAUGCAGAACGAGAUCUGCAUGCAAGGGAAUUUAAUGAGAAAAGACAGAAGUUGGAAUCUGAUAUUCGGGCAACCAAGCCCUUGAAGAAUGAGGCUGUACAAUUGCGAGCUGAAGUGCAGCAACUUAAGAAUGUUAACAAGGAUCUUGAAGCGAAGGUUCAGACACUUACCCAAGAUCUUCUGAGGUUACAAGCUGAUAAUCAACAAAUUCCUAUGUUGAAGGCUGACAUCGAUGGAAUACAUCAAGAGCUUAUGCGUGCUAGAUCCAUGGUUGAUUAUGAAAAGAAAGGAAACAUAGAGAUGAUGGAACAAAGACAGGCAAUGGAGAAAAAUUUGGUCUCCAUGGCUCGGGAAGUUGAGAAAUUACGUGCUGAGUUAGCUAGUUCCAAUGGCAGACAUUGGGGUGCUGGUGGGACCUACGGGACUAAGUUUGGCAGCCCUGAGGGAAGUUUUCCAGCUCCAUAUCCCGAUGGAUAUGGUGUUCAUAUGGGAGGUGCUUCAUGGGGACAUCAUGAGAAGGCUCGCAUGAAUCGUCGUUGAGAUUGUAGGAUCGCUGUUGGAGAUGAAGAACAGCUUCCUCCAUUACUCUGCUUUGUGUUGGGGGAAUGGCUGAAACAACUUAGCAAGUCCUUCUAUGUUCACAUCACUGGUCAUUUAUCUGGAUAUAUUAUUGGACGCUUGGAAUCUUGUCAAUGCUGGUGAUCUAGAAGAGGAAAAAGAAAUGCCUGUCUUUGACGCUAAUGUGGGAGAUAGAUCUCUGGGAAGACCAAAAGGCUUUUGAUUUCUUUUUUUGCCGGGUUAGCAAAAUCUGAAGAUGCUUAUUCUGGGAUGAAGAUUUGUCAACCACCCUUAGAAGGGUUUGGUUGCUUUGCCUGGUGGUGAGGGAGUUGUGUAGACAAAAUAACAUGGGAAGAUCACAUGGGAAUUUAUUGUUUCAAGGAGCGUAUUCCGACCAUGUUUGUUUGGGGAUGAAGAUUCUUCGGCCAUAUAAUUCAAAGCAUAUUUUGCCUGAGUGGGGAAUGGUGAGGAAUCCUUGGUAAAGAGUAAAUUGAGGAAAAACGUAAAGUUCACUGUUUGCACGGGGAAAAAAUCCAAUGGUUACUUGUUGGGGGAUGAAGAUUGGUCCGUCAUUUGG